rnacentral:rRNA from 1 species
GCCAGACUCGUACGGGAGGCAGCAGUGGGGAAUAUUGCACAAUGGGGGAAACCCUGAUGCAGCGACGCCGCGUGAGCGAAGAAGUAUUUCGGUAUGUAAAGCUCUAUCAGCAGGGAAGAAAAAAAUGACGGUACCUGAGUAAGAAGCACCGGCUAAAUACGUGCCAGCAGCCGCGGUAAUACGUAUGGUGCAAGCGUUAUCCGGAUUUACUGGGUGUAAAGGGAGCGUAGGCGGCGCGUUAAGUCUGAUGUGAAAACCCGAGGCUCAACCACGGGAGUGCAUUGGAAACUGGCGGGCUGGAGUGCCGGAGAGGUAAGCGGAAUUCCUAGUGUAGCGGUGAAAUGCGUAGAUAUUAGGAGGAACACCAGUGGCGAAGGCGGCUUACUGGACGGCAACUGACGCUGAGGCUCGAAAGCGUGGGGAGCAAACAGGAUUAGAUACCCCCGUAA